ensembl:lncRNA
CCUUCCAAUAAGAGAGUGAGGGGGCCGAGUGGAGACUGUGUGCCGGCUCCAGCAGCACACCCUGGGCCUGCUGCAGCGCGGAGCUCCAAGCAAAGAGGUGAGAAGGUGCUGUGGUACCCGCCGUGCGGAGGCGCUUCCCUGUCCGAUCACAUUCAGUUUGCUUAGGAUUGGCUUUGCUUUUUCCUUCUCCAUGGAGGAGAAAAGAGUGGAAGGCUACAAAGUCCAAAGGCAGUGAGGUGCCAGAAUGUGUAACCCUGUCUCUUCUCGUUAACUCCAUGGUGGUCUUCUGCACGUCCCCCUGGAAAUGUCAUUCACUGGGAGGCUUCCUAGUCCCAUUUCCUCCGUCUUUUUGCUGCCUUCUGCUAGUACAGCAUGUAUGUU